rnacentral:rRNA from 1 species
UACGUAGGUGGCAAGCGUUAUCCGGAUUUACUGGGUGUAAAGGGCGUGUAGGCGGGACUGCAAGUCAGAUGUGAAAUUCCAGGGCUCAACCCUGGAACUGCAUUUGAAACUGUAGUUCUUGAGUGAUGGAGAGGCAGGCGGAAUUCCGUGUGUAGCGGUGAAAUGCAUAGAUAUAACUUAGAACACCGAUAGCGAAGGCAGCUUACCAGACUGAGUCUGACGCUGAUGCACGAGAGCAUGGGUAGCGAACAGG